GAUGAACGCUAGCGGCAGGCCUAAUACAUGCAAGUCGGACGGGAUCUAUCGGAGAGCUUGCUCGAAGAUAGUGAGAGUGGCGCACGGGUGCGUAACGCGUGAGCAACCUACCCAUAUCAGGGGGAUAGCCCGGAGAAAUCCGGAUUAAGACCGCAUAACACUGUGAUUUGGCAUCAUGUUACAGUUAAAUAUUUAUAGGAUAUGGAUGGGCUUGCGUGACAUUAGCUAGUUGGUGAGGUAACGGCUCACCAAGGCGACGAUGUCUAGGGGCUCUGAGAGGAGAAUCCCCCACACUGGUACUGAGACACGGACCAGACUCCUACGGGAGGCAGCAGUAAGGAAUAUUGGUCAAUGGGCGGAAGCCUGAACCAGCCAUGCCGCGUGCAGGACGACUGCCCUAUGGGUUGUAAACUGCUUUUGUCGAGGAAUAAACCUAUCUACGUGUAGAUAGCUGAACGUACUCGAAGAAUAAGGAUCGGCUAACUCCGUGCCAGCAGCCGCAGUAA
rnacentral:rRNA from 1 species